rnacentral:rRNA from 1 species
UUGCCGACGAUGUGAUAUGAGAUGUUGUAUUACAUUAUAGAAAUUAGAGUUUUUUGGCUCUGGGGAUAGUAUGAUCGCAAGAUUGAAAAUUAAAGAAAUUGACGGAAGAAUACCACAAGGAGUGGAUUGUGCGGCUUAAUUUGACUCAACGCGAGGUAACUUACCAAUAUUUUAUUGUUCUGCGAGGAUAUGAUCUGAGGAUGAUAAUAGUGGUGCAUGGCCGUUUUCAAUGGAUGCUGUGA